CCGCCCCGCGAGCAGCCGUACGAGGCGGGCGGCAGGAAGGGCGCGGCGGCGGCGGCGGCGCCGGGCGGGCCCUGCAGAGCAGGGUCGCGCUGGAAAAUGCAGUUUGAAGACGGGACAACAGGCAUCCAAACCAAGCAGUUUAUGGGAAAAUCACAUCUAGAAAGGAUAUUUAAACAACAAGAAACAGAGAGCUCUGGGAGACAUUUGCCUUGGAGGAGCACUGGGGAGCAGGCAAGAGGUGGCGAAACACAAAACUGAAAUCAGUUUCCAGGAGGACACUGGCUGUGCCUCUGAGCCCUGCUCCUCUGAACAUGUAGGUACAGGCUCCACUUCCCUGUGUGGAUCUCAGGUGUGUG